GGUUUUUUUCCUUCUGUUUUCAGAACAAGUUUGCCUUCUCCUGUGUUUUCCAGAAAUAAUGACUUCAGUAUCUGGAGCAUCCUCAGAAAAUGUAUUAGAAUGAUCAACAUAGUGUAGGAAAAACAAAGAGCAGCCUGCAAAAACAGGUCCAAGUCAGAAGAGGACUGGAAGACAAAGUACAUGGUUGAGCCCUCGGGCAGGCUAUUGUGUGCUGAUGAGGUGAUUCCAUCAAGGAGGUCCUAAUCCCUGCAAUGGAGCACAGGACUGGAUUUACUCUGGCAGCUACUGGGACAGAAAGUACUUCAAUUUGUCUGCCAUUUAGUAAAGUGCAUACAGGUCAGGGUGUUUGGCUGAUCUCUAAGUGGAAGAGGCCACUAGACGACUUUACAGAUGUAUCCGAGUACACUGCUGCAGCUUCCCCAGAGGGCACAGGUCUGCCUUCGACGUCCUUGCAUGCAGUUUUCCCAGACUCCACCUGCCCAGGAUUGUCAGAGACUAUUGAAGCGAUCUCCACUUCAAGGUGCAGAGAUUUUUCAGAGCCUAUAGUGAUAGUGCCCUCUGCAUCCAGCAGUUGUGUAGGUGUCUCGGGAUGACCUUUCACAGAUGUGUCAGAGAGCAGAGCUAUUCCUUCUGCCUUCAUCUAUACUAGGAAUAUUUUGCAUUCUCCUCCAACUGUGCAAGUUUUACAGACUAUACCGAUUGAGACUAACUGGUGGUGACUGCUCAUUUUAAGAAGCAAUUUGAUCAGUAAAAAGGUUAACUAUUUGUUCUGGCAGUUGUUCAAUAUAAAUAACUCCUUCAGUCACAGGCACAUCAUUAUAGAGAGAUGAUAAAUGAACAGUUGACAUAACCCCAGUUAUCCACCUGCAAAAGGACUGCAGGAGCUUGAUCAUAAGCAGGAGGUUCUUGUUCAUCCUGCAAAGAGACUGAGGAAGCUGUUGAUGGCCCAGCCUCAUUUUCUUUAGGUAUAACCCAAAUCUACAUGGACAGACUUUUGGCUCACAACCUGCACUUCUAGCACCUUUCCAGAACACAAGAGCAGCAGCCACCAUGACACCUUCAGCAGCCUCUGAGGUCAGCACCUCCUUGAUAACAAUAGGCAUACUGGUUGCCACAUCCACCAUUAAAACAUCAGAUUGAUCAGAAUGAAUACAGGAAACGUGACCUAAUAUCUGAGCAGCAAACUGAGCUGGGACAUAGGCAAACUCGGGUGAGACAGCGGUUGGAGGUGGUGACAAGGGUGGGGUAGUAGUCUCAGGGGUGGCUGGUUUGGAAGAAGGAUCACAAACUGCUUCAGUUUGCUCAGCACCUACCUCUAUAUAAAUUGAUGGAGACUGGAUAGUUUUGUCACAAUAUCCUGUUCCGGUUACAUUGGCCUUGUCUGUAGAUUAUUCCAUCCGUCGGUACUUUAGAUUGUACAAGAUGCUUUUUUUCUGGUUCUUUUAAACAUUCUUGUUUCCUUUUUGGUGUCAUUCCCUCUGACGGCUUCUCUGCUAAAACACAACAACCAGAUGGGUUAAUUAACAUCCAUGCCCCUGAAAAACAUUUUUAAAGAAGGCAGUAAUAGGGGUGUGGUAGCUCAUGCCUAUAGUUCCAGCACUUUAGAAGGCUGAGGUGGGAGGAUCACUUGAGCCCAGGAGUCAAGACCAGCCUGGGCAACAGUGAGACUCCAUUUCUAACCUCUCCUGCUCCCCCCUCCCCCGGCCCAAAAAAGCAAUAAUUGGUUGAGCAUUCAGAUGUCAAUAUAGACACAAAUACACAAGAGUUUUCAGCUUUGUUUUCCAGCAGCUGUAAUUUAGUGUGGGUAAUAAAACAUUCCUGCCCUUAUCUACUCCAUGACCCUCAGUUCAUUUACUUGGAAAUACAUGACUCUAAAUAGCACAAUGGGAAAACUUAAUAAAUCAGAUACCAUCCAAAGCAGGUCAUUCUUAGGAGGAGAGAUGUGCCUAGAAUUAAGGAAGCUGAAAAUCUCUAUGGAAAAAGCUCCCAAUUAAACUCUCACACAAAACUGGGAGGAGAGGUUGAGUCAGGGAGAGACCAACUUGGGCAAUAAAUUAUUUCAUCUUUGUUGUUGUAGUAACUUAGUAAUGACAUAGAUGCUGCAUAUUAAUAAAGACAUUUCUCAUUUAUGAAAAGUUGUAUAUUAAGUUUAACUUAAUGAUCAGCUAGAGGACUACAUGAUUUUUCUUUUUUACGUUAGGAAAGUCACAUAUUCUAACCUAAAAAUGGUAGCACCCAGUAGUGAUGUAUGAUCAUGCAGCCAAAGUCAGACUGACCCAGCCAAGAGGAAAAUAAAGAUGUCUCUGGAUCUGAAAGUGUGGACUUAAGUGAAUCCUCAGGCAUGAGGAAAAUUCUCAUGGGUUGGAAGGUCACAACAGCUAAUGACAUAUACAAAGUCCUAG
ensembl:lincRNA